AUGGCUGAUGCUAUGGGUAAACUCGACCAGAUGGUUGGCAUCCCAAUUGAAAGAAGGAUCCUUGCUGAGUUUUUCUGCAUCAUACAACCUGCCAUCGACUCUGAUAGACUCCUUUUGCUUGCAGAAAGGCUAACCUGGGGUCUUCUGCGCAUCUUAAAUGGUUUGAAGCUGCAUACAUGGUACCAUGGUCCGAAGGACCAAAAUCUGGACAGUGCAAAACUUUGA
rnacentral:rRNA from 1 species